AUUGAACGCUGGCGGCAUGCCUAACACAUGCAAGUCGAACGGUAACAGGAAACAGCUUGCUGUUUCGCUGACGAGUGGCGGACGGGUGAGUAAUGUCUGGGAAACUGCCUUAUGGAGGGGGAUAACUACUGGAAACGGUAGCUAAUACCGCAUAACGUCUCAAGACCAAAGAGGGGGACCUUCUGGCCUCUUGCCAUCGGAUGUGCCCAGAUGGGAUUAGCUAGUAGGUGGGUUAACGGCUCACCUAGGCGACGAUCCCUAACUGGUCUGAGAGGAUGACCAGCCACACUGGAACUGAGACACGGUCCAGACUCCUACGGGAGGCAGCAGUGGGGAAUAUUGCACAAUGGGCGAAAGCCUGAUGCAGCCAUGCCGCGUGUAUGAAGAAGGCCUUCGGGUUGUAAAGUACUUUCAGCGGGGAUGAAGGGAGUAAAGUUAAUACCUGUGCUCAUUGACGUUACCCGCAGAAGAAGCACCGGCUAACUACGUG
rnacentral:rRNA from 1 species